rnacentral:rRNA from 1 species
UACGGGAGUGGCAAGCGUUAUCCGGAAUUAUUGGGCGUAAAGCGUCCGCAGGCGGUCCAGAAAGUCUGCUGUUAAAAAGUGGAGCUUAACUCCAUCAUGGCAGUGGAAACUUCUGGACUAGAGUGUGGUAGGGGCAGAGGGAAUUCCCGGUGUAGCGGUGAAAUGCGUAGAUAUCGGGAAGAACACCAGUGGCGAAGGCGCUCUGCUGGGCCAUAACUGACGCUCAUGGACGAAAGCCAGGGGAGCGAAAGGG